AACGGCCCACCAAGUCGACGAUCGGUAGCCGGACUGAGAGGUUGAACGGCCACAUUGGGACUGAGACACGGCCCAGACUCUUACGGGAGGCAGCAGUGGGGGAUAUUGCACAAUGGGCGAAAGCCUGAUGCAGCAACGCCGCGUGAGGGAAGACGGUUUUCGGAUUGUAAACCUCUGUUCUAAGUGACGAACAAAUGACGGUAGCUUAGGAGAAAGCCCCGGCUAACUACGUGCCAGCAGCCGCGGUAAUACGUAGGGGGCAAGCGUUGUCCGGAAUUACUGGGUGUAAAGGGAGCGCAGGCGGAGAAGCAAGUCAGUGGUGAAAACGAUGGGCUUAACUCAUCGACUGCCAUUGAAACUGUUUCCCUUGAGUGAAGUAGAGGCAGGCGGAAUUCCGAGUGUAGCGGUGAAAUGCGUAGAUAUUCGGAGGAACACCAGUGGCGAAGGCGGCUUGCUGGGCUUUAACUGACGCUGAGGCUCGAAAGUGUGGGGAGCAAACAGGAUUAGAUACCCUGGUAGUCCACACUGUAAACGACGAUAAAGAGGUGUGGGGGGUCUGACCCUUUCCGUCGCGGAGUUAACGCAAUAAGCAAUCCCCCUGGGGAGUACGGCCGCAAGGUUGAAACUCAAAGGAAUUGACGGGGGCCCGCACAAGCAGUGGAUUAUGUGGUUUAAUUGAGACGCAACGCGAAGAACCUUAUCAGGUCUUGACAUCCAACGAAUCCUUAAGAGAUUAGGGAGUGCCUUUCGGGGAACGCCGAGACAGGUGGUGCAUUGUUGUCGUCAGCUCGUGUCGUGAGAUGUUGGGUUAAGUCCCGCAACGAGCGCUACCCCUGCCAUUAGUUGGUAUGCAAGAGCACUCUAAUGGGACCGCUCCCGACAAGGUUGAGGAAGGUGGGGAGGACGUCAAAUCAUCAUGCCCCCUAUGACUUGGGGUACACACGUAAUACAAUGGCCGUUAACAACGGGAGGCAAAACCGGGAGGUGGAGCAAAACCCUAAAAACGGUCCCAGUUUGGAUCGCAGGCUGCAACCCUCGUGCGUGAAGUUGGAAUUGCUAGUAAUCUCGGAUCAGCAUGCCGCGGUGAAUACGUUCCCGGCCCUCGCACA
rnacentral:rRNA from 1 species